AUUGAACGCUGGCGGCAGGCCUAACACAUGCAAGUCGAGCGGGGUUUUCGGACCUAGCGGCGGACGGGUGAGUAAUGCGUAGGAAGCUACCCGAUAGAGGGGGAUACCAGUUGGAAACGACUGUUAAUACCGCAUAAUGUCUACGGACCAAAGUGUGGGACCUUCGGGCCACAUGCUAUCGGAUGCGCCUACGUGGGAUUAGCUAGUUGGUGGGGUAAUGGCUCACCAAGGCGACGAUCCCUAGCUGGUUUGAGAGGAUGAUCAGCCACACUGGAACUGAGACACGGUCCAGACUCCUACGGGAGGCAGCAGUGGGGAAUAUUGGGCAAUGGGCGCAAGCCUGAUCCAGCCAUGCCGCGUGUGUGAAGAAGGCCUUCGGGUUGUAAAGCACUUUCAGUAGGGAGGAAGAGUUGAGUGUUAAUAGUACUCAGCUUUGACGUUACCUACAGAAGAAGCACCGGCUAACUCUGUGCCAGCCGCCGCAGUAAUAC
rnacentral:rRNA from 1 species